AGCGCCGUCCUGCUGUCGGGUCCUAAAGCAGGGGAAGGAACCUCAGAGCUCAGCAGCCUGCUAGCAUGAAACAUGAGAGCAAAGUAGGAGGAGAACUGUCUGUGCCCCUCCUCCACAUGACGUAAUCCUGAGGUCAGGGGUCUUGACUCCUGACCCCCAGCACUGGAAGCCAUAUGAGGAUCCUGUCAGCAUCUCAGAAAGUUAGGGGCAUGACUCAAUUAUCCCCAAUGGGAGCUUAACCCCCACUCCAGGGAGAAAAAGAUGCCGCGGUCACUCAGGUGCGGUGAUCCUCAGACUGGGCAUCGGUCCUGCAGGGAGGCGGCUGAUGGUAACCGGGGGGAGCUCAGACAUCGGGCCACGGACCGUUACACGCCACCAA